UGUAAGCGUAUACCAAAGUUGUUGCAGUUAAAACGCUCGUAGUCGGAAUUUGGCAGUUCCGGAUGUGUGCACGUCGUGUGCGCACUUCGCGGGGAUUGCUUUUGUGGUCUUGCGUAGGAUGAGGCACUUUUAUUAGUGAACGUCCUCACGCAACCACUUUUUACUGUGAGAAAAACAGAGUGCUCAAAGCAGGCAUUUGCCGUGAAUGUAUUAGCAUGGAAUAAUAGAAUAGGACUUGGUUCUAUUUUGUUGGUUUGUUGGGACUGAGUAAUGAUUAAGAGGGACAGUUGGGGGCAUUUGUAUUUCGGUGCUAGAGGUGAAAUUCUUAGAUUACCGAAAGACAAACUGCUGCGAAAGCGUCUGCCAAGGAUGUUUUCAUUGA
rnacentral:rRNA from 1 species